CUUUCUGUAUCAUUAUUAAGUUUACUAGCAAAGGACUGAAGAUGUAUACUUGUGUGUUUUGACACAUGGUUUAUAGUAAUUGUGCAUUUUAACUUACAACACCACAGAUCACUCAUCAGUCAGCACUAUUAUGUCUGAAGUUACAGAAUUGUUACUAGACUUACUACACUUCAACCAUGAAUAUUCUAGUCCUACAUCUGUAGGAGAUGUGGAUCACAAUCUGUAGGAGAUAAAUGACUGCAGAAAACUUGCAAGAAUCAUUUAAGACCAUUUAUGCUUCUAAUAAGCAUACAUGUUAAAUGGUUGAAAAUAAUGGUGGGAGUGUUUAGCCAAGUAGUUAUUGUAUAAACAAUUUGAUGUGCAUAUCUUUCUUACAUUUAUUCUGCCAUUUCAGUUAUGCUACUGUUUAAGUUUUUGGUAUAAUGGUGAUUUACAUAUGGAUCUAAACUUUUCUAUUCCCUUCUGAGUUUAAGCAUAUAUUAGGAUCUCAUAACUAGAACUGAUGGAUUCGGGCAAUGACGUGGAAGGAUAUGAUAUUCUAGAACUGGUAAUUUGCAUUUACAAAACCACGAGGGCAUAUAGACAGCUAUCCAAAUGCCACACGAUGCUAACCAAUAUCUAUGGAUCAAUCCUGGAGCAGAAAUCGAGUCCAAUUCUUAUUGCUGAUGCCACACGUGUUACAGAAGAUACAAUAUAAUAUUUUUGGUGUUUACAGAGGUGCCCUUGAUGGUUUAUUGGGAGAGUGGAGAACUUAGUCAUACAUACUGGUCGAGGAUGGAUGGUAAUUAUACCUUGAACAUACUUCCAGAUCCCAGAUGAGUCAAAGCAGAUGAAUUGCAGGCGGGAUUCUGCUACUUACAGACAACAGUCGUGGAUCCUGUUGUAGAUUCUUCAUUCUCAAAUAAGAAGUAUUGAGGCAAAUUUAUCUAAUCUUUUUACUCUAAGUGUAAGUAUACUUUUUUUGCAUAUCAACAGGUGAGAAGUGGUGUUCGCGGUGUAUGCACAGUAUUCCUUUCAGGUGAGCCUGCAACAAGGAUGUCAUGGCCGGAGCUGCAGCAACUCAUUGCUACCGUGGAUAGCACAAAAGGUAUGGAUGAUUUAUACUUUUAAUUCAAGAAUCUUGCUUUACAAUUUAAGAGGGUGCCGAAAGUUGGCAGCUUGUCUUGGCACCCUUUGGGCACAUUUGCAACUUCAAAAGGGAAGCACUCAGAAGUGCAGUAUCACAUGGAUGUUGACACCACCUUGACAUCCCUAUCGGACAUGCUCUAAGUGCGCCAUCUUUGUAGAGUAAUUUCGGAGGCAGGCCAAAAUUUUCAGACACACUUGAUGGGUGUGUUACAGUCCUGCCUGCAGAGUUUCCACCUGACAUCUCCGCCUUUCCGAGCUAUGAAAAUCUUUAGUGGUCUUUGUCAGUGUAAUGUAUCCACAUCGUUUGUAGUAUUAAUGUAUUAUGUUUUGCUGUUGUUCAAAGAUUCAUUCAUCAUCCGUUGGUGUAUUCAAAAAUUGGAGUAAAGCUGUAAUUUGAAGCAAUAGUUUUUAUAGAAUUGUGAAAAAAAUAGAUUUGACCCCUGU